UCGCGCUGUUCCCCCUGCGCGCGGCCCCGGCUCGCCUCUUAAAGGCACGCAUGAAAAACUCUUCAAAACAACAAACUCCUGUUACUUCAUUCCGCGAGGAGGCGGGGCUGAGUCACGUGCUGCGGGGGGAAAGCCCCGCCGAUGCGCAGGCGCGACCGUGAUCCAAGGGUGUUGUCGCCUUGGCGCCGCCUCCUGCUGAGGAAUGGGGAGGGGAUGCGUGGCGCGUCAUGGGGGAGGGGGAGGGAUACUCAGUGCGCGAGGAGUAACGGCCAACGUUUACAACGGCCGCAGUGGGGGAGAUGGAAACGCCGCCAGCCGAGGCGGUGCGGGGCCAAUGGGAGGCUCCACCGCCUCCGGCAGUCACGGACGGGAAGAGGGAAACGCCCCCCCAGGAGCGGCCCUUCAGGCGACCCCGCCCCCUUGCACACACAGACCCCGGGCGGCGCGGAGCCGGCGGCCUUGUUUUCCCCUGGCGCUCAGCCGCGUGACGGGCGCUAUGUGACAGCGGCUGAGGGGAGCGCCAGGCUCGGGGCCAGGCCGGCGGGGGGGGCUCGUUUACUGCCCCGACCUGGACACGCAGCCCGGCUGCCUGGGCCCCAGCUCGGCACGCACACACCCCGCGGCGCAGCCCACACGGCUCUUCGGGCGUGUCAGCCCUGGUGGUUUCUGGGCUGCGCAGGGCUGCUGGGUGCAUCGCAGUGUCCUGCCCGCCGCCCCAAAGGCCCCGACCAGGGCGUUUCUCAUUGAAGCGAGAGCAGUGAAUCGGAGGACGAGCGGGGCGGGAGGGGGCAGCUAUAAAGCAAUACCCAACCCUGAAGGGCCAUAGGGUCUAGUACCAAGUACUAGAAGCUGAGGGCGCUCAGUAUUUCAUUUGAUGAUGGUAACGUUAAGUGAUAAGAUCAAUAAACAAAGGGCGUCCUUUGUGAUUUGCUCAACAGGAGUAAAAUGACUUAGGGCAUGUCUGCACUACGAACUUAAAUAGCCCUAUAUUAAGUUGACUUACAGCCAUUGCAGUAAUUACUGCAGUUGAUACCCACGCUGCUCAACUUUUGUUGAUGGUGCGCAUCCUCACCAGGAGCACUUCCACUGGCUUAAGAGGGCCAGUGUGGGGCACUGAGAGCCCAGGCUCUCUCAGCUCUGUGCCACUCCCUACCAGGAACUUGGCUGCCCCCAAUCCCUCUGGGCACCCGGCGGGGAGCUCUGUGGCCAACACCUGGGCAGCUGUUGGGGUCCCUGUAGGGAAUGGUGAGCCUCGGUGCAGGUGGGCAGGCGGUAGCCUGCCAGGGAGGUGGGACAGCCAAGCUUUUGGUAGAGCCCCCACCAGCCCCAGGGUGACAACCCAAGCUGGGUGGCUUUCUUGUCAGUUUCAUGGUUCUGGGCAUGUAGCUGUGAAAUUGACAAGAAUGACAGUCAACAGCCAAUGUAAAUAUCCCACAGUCUCAACCCUGACAUUGUGUUGCCCUAACUACACCGAUGUAAGCCCUGUGCCUCUCAUGGAGGUGGAGUUACUAGGCCUUCCCUCGACCUAACUGUACUGUAGACCAGGCCUCAAAAAAAAAUGGUUGAAAAUAGCAAUAAUUAAAAUCAGGUGUCAAGAGUAAUUUUUUCCAUGGCAGAGUAAAUGAAAACAUUGUUUAUGUUUUCAAAUAAAUAGGUGAGCAUUAUUUGUGGGUAUUUCCCCUGUUCCUCUAUGAGCAACAGUAUCACAUACCCAAAACUUCCUCACUCACUUUCCUGGUUCUUCUUUGAUUUUGUUAGUCAUCAAACUUUUAAUGAAAUUUUAACAUAUUUAACAUAUUACAGUUUAUAGUCUGCGUGAUGCUUUUUUUUUAAUAAAAUGAACCAAGUAAAGGAAUUUGUUCAUUUGCCACUUUAGAAGUGAUGUUAUAGUUCAUGUGAUUGAAGUCAGUUGAUCUUCAGCCACAUGCCUCAGAUAAGACUGACCUGUGUUGUAAAGUGUUUUGAUAUCUAUAAGUGAAGAACAAAGAGCUAGGUAUUACUGUUGAUUUUUCAAGUAUUAUAGUAGUUCAAAUUCUGUAUAUACAAAUCAGUGCUCUUUUGAAAAUAAAAUAUUUUAAAUUUGUUAUGCUAAAAAAAAUGCAACCAAAACUAAACUAAGCAAAAUCAUAUUUUGAGUCAGUCUUCUUGGGCUAACUAGUGCUUGAUUACUUAUUGGUUAUUGUUUAGUAUUGACAGAAUGUUUAGGGAAAAGCAGAGUUGUCAGUUUAGCAAAACUAAUUAAAAUGACUGUAUUUUUAAGUGUUUUCUAUAUCUUCCUAUUGUAAAUACAUAUAUUUUGGAGUUAGAGAGUACCUCAUCUCAUUUCUGUAUGAGGGUUUGGUUUGCACACCAGUACUUUGAGCAAAGCUGAGAUCAGGUAAGUCCAAAUUGUGGAUUUUUACUUCCUCUAUAUUUGGAAAAUAAUAAACACAUACAGUAUUAGUUUUGUUCCCAAAGAGGGAGUAGCAGUAUUAUGAAUUAGUUUCUUAAAUUAGAUUCUUACUCUUCCAAUACCUUUGUAGCAACAUUUAAAGCAUGGUGUUGAAGAUGUAAAAACACUGCCUCAGUUGAACAGCAAGGUUACAGGCUUAAUUUUUUUCUUCUGGCUCUUGAUUUUUUUGGCUGUUUCUCAAAUGUACAUGAGUUGUUGACAUCUUGACCAAGUACAUUUUAGGGAUAUGUAACAGAACAGGGUUCGUCACAUACAAACAAGUCAGCGUUGAGGCAACAUUUGUGUCCUUUCUGGGUGCCACGGUUUAGUUUUUUAAUCUGGUGUGUGUACAUUGUGUUCCUAUAUUUAAGUCAUUCUUAGGGGUAUGUUCUCAAAUUGAAAAAAUAAUGCAAUUAUUAAGGACAUCAGUGAGCAAAGACACCCCCCCCCUUUUUUUACUUUAAUAAUUUAGUGAAUUUAAAGCUUGUAUCAAAUUUACAAUUCUGGAGAGCUAAUAGGGGAAGCAUGGAAGAAGUAAUGUGAGCAACUCCAUACUGCCUCUGUGUCAUAACUAUGAUCUGAAGGAUCAGAUGUAGAGAGAUGGUAGAUCAAUCUCCAUGAGCCAGUUGUUGGCAUUUCUACUGUGACCAUCAAUGUAGCUAGGCGCAAAUUACUCCAAAGAUGCCCUUUAUUUUUAAUGUCUAUUACACAGAGCAUAUCUGUACAAAAGCUGUGUUGUGACAAUAACUCAUAAUAACUAUCAGUCAGCAGCCUUAGAUAAUCAAAUGAAGAUAACAGUUCUCUCUCAGAAUCAUACUCAGAAUCAUACCCUCAUCCUUCCCCAAAAACUCUAUCGGAUAUAUGGGUUUUGCAACAUGCCUGAACAGUCAUCAAAUUUGGGCUGCUUCAGCUUGGGGGAGUGGAUGAGAGUAGGUUUCAAAGUCCUAGGGCCCUCAUCCAGAACAGCCUGCCCAAACCAUUUUCUUGAUUGUGGCAAGGGAUAUGAUCUAACUCAAUGGUUCUCAACCAGGGGUCCGGGGCCCACUGGGGGGCUAUGAGCAGGUUUCAGGGGCGUCUGCCAAAAUGAACCAGAGAGCAGGGCCGGCGUUCGACUUACUGGCCCCAGGGCAGAAAGAUGAAGCCCAAGCCCUGCUGCCCGGGGCUGAAGACCAAUCCUAAGCCCGGCUGCCCAGUGUUGAAGCCCAAGCCUGAGCAACUUAGCUUUGCGGGACUGCCUGUGGUGUCGGACCACAGGGCAUUGCCCUGUUUGCUACCCCGUGAUGCUGGCCCUGGCUUUUAAUCUACUGGAUAUGCAGGAAAACAGUUGUGGCAAAGGUGGGCCAAGGAGUUUUUAACAGCAUGUGGGGGGCAUGCCUCAAAGAAAAACAUAGAGAACCCCUGAUCUAACUUGAGCAUCUCUGACUACAUCUUUGGCAGUCUGUCACAAGGAUAAUCUCUCAGGUAGGUCUCAGGCCAUUUAGGGCUUUGUAGGCCAUAACCAGCACCUUAACCUCUACAUGGACAUCAGUAGGUAUCCAGUCCCCAUCCUGAAGAAUUGAUGUCUUGUGCGACAAGCAAGCUGCCACAUUUUGCAUAAGCUUGUCUACAAACGGUUUUAAAGGUAUAGCCCCCAUAGAGCAUAUUGCAGUAGUCUAAGUUUGAGGUAACAGACAUAAAUAACACUGGCAAUGUCUGUAUCUGAAAGAAAAGGCUUGGCACAGAUCAUAAAAGCCCAACUUGGUUACUGCUGUAAUGGGAUCAUUGACAGCAGCUGCAAGGGGCGGUGUUUAAUAUCACUCCCAAGCUGCAAACUCUGAUAACCAAUGCUAGAUCACUCUUUCAGUCAGAGGGGUUGAUAUUACCUCCACUGUCUUUUCCAGCUGCUUCCAAGAGCCUGUCAUCACCACCCUUCUGUUGUCUGAGUUCUGCUUCAGCCAGCUCUCUCUCAUUCAUAUCCCAGUGUCAGCUAGACAUGUGGCUGAGGUACUGAGCCACAUCACUGUCAGAGUUGGAUGAGAGAGAUAUCUAACUGGGUGGCAUAAACAAAGAUACUAAAUACUGCGUCUUUCAACCUUAACUUUUUCUGUUUAAGAAUAGAUUGAGAUUACCCAGCCUGAUUAAACAUAUUCAUUCUGCUGCUUGACUCACAUUCUACUGGCAGCAGAGUUUAAAGAGUAAACAUUAACUUUGGUACAAUAUUUUAAAAUUUCUCUUUGAUUAGAAGAUUGAAAUAUAUAGGUAUGUAUAUAUGUUGACUUGCAGUGAGGGGCUGUGAAGUGCUGCCUGUAUUUCAUGCUGUAUAAUACACAACAGUUCUUGCCUCCAAAAAGUUUGUAUUCUAAAAAGACAAAUAAUGCCACAUCAGGAGACCAACAAUAAGGUUCUGCAUUUUUUAAAGCUUUUUGGUAAUGAGCUGGUGUCAUUUUUGUUAAUGUGGUUUGGUAAUAAACUAUCCUGUCAGUCUGAAAGAGUGACACAGAAUAUGGUUAAGUUUUUCAGCCAUCUGAAGGUCUUGUUCCUUUUCAAAGAAUAGUUCUCUAUAAAUUCCCAAGUUCAGUAAAUACAGAAUGUUUUAUUGCAUACUUUACAAAAGAUUGAGGAGGAAAGAGUAACCGUUCACUCACUUGCUUGGCAUCCCUUACCCCUCAUAACCCCAGAUGUCCCCUCUGCUGUAGGAGGCAAGGAAAGGCAGAAACAAUAAAGGUCAGAAGAGUCUCAAAAAUUGUGGAAGGCAGAACACCACUCAACAGCAUUUUGCCAAAGCUAAGGGGAAGCCAGGCACCACUGUGGCCAUUGGUUCCCCACAUAGAGGUUCUUAUGCUUGGGAGUUUGCCUACAUACCUUCAUGUUCUAAUGUGUUCAGAGGCCUAUGUCCUGCCUUAAUAGGGGUUCACAUCUUUCCUUUAAAGCUGAGCAGCUGGAACAGUGUCUAAUCUCUCAGAAAUCUCAGGAAAGUGGAAAAGUUCACUGUUUUUCUAUGAGAGAGGAAGAUGGGGUCUUGGUUGUUCUGGAAGUAUCUGACAUUCUUUUCUUUGUCUUCCUCACCCUUCUACCCACAGAUUUUCCAUUGAACUUGGGAAUUAUCUACUGGGGUAUAUCAGCCACAUAGUUUGUAGCUCUCAUAUCCCCUAGGGUCCUUUUCCCAGUUUCCACAGCACUUCAAAGGCCAUGAAACAUUUUUUACUAAAGUACUUUAAGAUGUUAAAUGAAAGGCACUAUACAAGUGCAAAAAUUACUUAGACUUAUACAUACCUCAGGAUCUUUUCUGACGGUUCAAGAAGCAUUCCUAAGUACGUGCCACUUGUAUUGGUACUUCUGCACUCAGAUUCAGCCUGAGAUACUUGUUUGGCUAUCACUGGACAUCUAAGGAGGGAUCACUGCAGUCAGUAAACAGGAUCUUGGGCUCAACGCCAAAAAGUGGCAGCUGCCGUGGCUCAGAAGAAAGCCAGAUCACUUGGAUUACAAAACAAUCCAAUUACUUGAUACAAAAUCAUGUGACCCUAUUUAGCUAAUGGUUUGCUACUCAUCAGUUUAAAAUAAAGUGGUUUAGUGGAGGGGAAGUGUACAAGACACGUUCCUAUCUAAGACAAUUGGAUUGUGAUUGGAAACUGGUAGUAUAUACACAUAUUGGGAGCUAUAACACUACAGACCUGUAUAUGCACCAAGGAGUUCUGAGGAGAUGGUACUCACAAGCAUGAACUUGGUGUAGUUUGGAGUAGCAUUAAGACCUUUUGAUAUCUUUGAAUUUUCCUCUGUUUUAUGAGAUGGCCUGGGAUGCAUCUCCAUGCUCUGUGUGUCCCUAAGUCUCUGACUGCCAGACUCUGGGACUGGACGACAGGAUGGAUCACUCAAUAAUUGUCUUGUUCUGUUCUUUCCCUCUGAAGCAUAUGGCAUUGGCCACUGCUAGAAGACAGGAUAGGGGGCUAGAUGGCCAUUCUUAUGUUCUUAUAUCUGUAAUUUUUUAAAAGAAAAAAUUAAAACAAUACCUGCUAUACGUCUGACUCCAUGGUUUGUAAGAUUCUGACAAGAGGUAGCAGAAACACUUGACUUUUAAAAUUUUGCUUUCAGUAGUUAUGAACAGUGAGUUGGUUGCCAGAAUUGUCUUUUUACCAAAAAAAGGGAUAUCUACUGAAUUUAAAGGAACUGCUCAUUUGAAUAAAGUUUUGCAGCAUCAGACUAAGUGCCUAUAUACCUUUUGUGCUAUAAGAAAAAAAUCAAAGAUAAACUUAGUUAAUGUGCAUGGUGUAGUCCCAUUGAUUAAAAUGCUAUCAUGUUGUCUUGUUUUCCACAAGCAUAAUAGUUGUUUUAGAGCUGUGAAUUUGCCUUAAGUAUAUGUAAUGGGGAAAAUGGACUGUAAAUUAGAAGUCCAUCAAGAAGUUCUUUUGUCUAAGCAUAAGAGCAAAGCCAAAUGUGUAAUCAUCAGGACUUCAAGCUGGAAGUAUGCCCCAGAUACUAGAUAUAUUGCUGUUUAGUGUAGCAAUCACUAUAGGUCAAGCUAGACUGUCAUUUCCAAUGUCAUUUCCAUUCUGACCCUCCUUGUUCCUCCAGUUCUCAUAAUGUUUUCUCAACAAAUUCCUUUCAGAUUGGAAUUUUCCAUGGUUGCUCUAAACCCAGAGGUUAGAGGCAUUUUUUUUGAAAGCUUGAACCAAACCAGUGGCGCUGUGUUUGAGUUGUGAGGGUGGGAAGAGGAGAGAGAAGCAAACACUUCCCAUAUGUUCAAGAGACUUUUUUGCUUGUACAACUCAAAACUACCUGAAUCUAAAGCUUCAGACUUGUUUUAUAUAUGUGAAAAGUUCUUAUGUAUGUGUAUGAUAAUUUAAGUGUGUUUAAAAGUUCACUGAAAAGACAAAAUUUGUUAAGGCCACUUAAUCUCAUUGGCAAAGGUGGCAAGCUAAGCAGCUUUAUAUCUAGAAUUUACAAGAUCACUCCUGAAUUAAGGAUAACUGUUAGAACUCUAGCACUGGAAGUUUCUCAGGGAGAGAGCUACUAGUAUGGUAUUUAUUAAGAAUAUGAUAUUUGGAUCCACCAGAGUUUCGUGGGCUGUCUUCUAUAGACUUUUGUAUGUGAAGUUUGCUAGCAUGAAAAGCUAUGUACUGCUAAUACUGACAUUUUUUGAAAAACAAUGAGCAUAUUAGGUUUUAUUCUAAGCCCUGGUCUACAAUACAGGGUUAGGUCGAAUUUAAGCCGCGUUAGGUCGAUUUUAUAAUGAAUGCGUCUACACAGGCAACCCCAUUCCGUCGACCUAAAGGGCUCUUAACAUCGACUCCCUUCCGGCGAGGGGAGUAGUGCUAAAAUCGCUGGGAUGAAUUUGGGGUGGUGCGGAUGCAAAUCAACAUUAUUGGCCUCCAGGAGCUAUCCCAGAGUGCUCCAAUGUGACUGCUCUGGACAGCACUUUCAAACUCCGAUGCACUAGCCAGGUACACAGGAAAAGCCCCGGGAACUUUUGAAUUUCAUUUCCUGUUUGGUCAGCGUGGCGAGCUUAGCAGCACAGGUAAUCAUGCAGUCCCCCGAGAAUCACAAAUGAGCUCCAGCAUGGAGCGAACGGGAGACACUGGAUUUGAUUGCUGUAUGGGGAGAAGAAUCUGUUCAGGCAGAACUCUGAUCAAAAAGAAGAAAUGCUAAUAUAUAUGCCAAAAUCGCACAGGGCAUGACAGACAGAGGCUACAACAGGGAGACACAGCAGUGCCGCGUGAAAGUCAAGGAGCUCAGGCAAGCCUACCAAAAGACAAAGGAGGCAAACGGUCAGUCUGGAUCAGAGCCCCAUAUAUGCUGCUUCUAUGAUCAGCGACAUGGCAUUCUAAGGGGGGAGCCUACCACUACCCCACCACUGUCCAUGGACACCUGCAAGGGGGGAGUCUCACGCAACACAGAGGAGGAUUUUGUGGAUGAGGAGGAGGAAGAGGAGAAUGAGCAGGCAAGUGGUGAAUCCAUUCUCCCCGGCAGCCAGGACCUUUUCCAUUACCCUGGAGCCAAUACCCUCCCAAGGCAGAAUCCCCAACCCUGAAGGCAGAGAAGGCACCUCUGGUGCAAAUGUUUCUGUGCUCCCCCUAUCAUUUCCAUUCCUGAGGAUAUCUCAGAUUAGAAAGCGGAAAAAAACGCACUCACGAUGACAUGUUUUCUGAGCUGAUGCAGUCCUCCCGCACUGAUAGGUCACAGCUGAAUGCAUGGAGGCAUUCAGUGGCAGAGUCCAGGAAAGCAUUAAGUGAGCGCGAUGAGAAGAGGCAGGAUGCAAUGCUGAGGCUAAUGGGGGAGCAAACAGACAUGCUCAGGUGUCUGGUGGAGCUGCAGGAAAGCCAAUAAGAGCACAGACCGCCGCUGCAUCCUCUGUACAACCGCCUGCCCUCCUUCCCAAGUUCCAUAUCCUCCUCUCCCAAGAUUGCGCGGGGGGAGGCUCCAGGCACCCAGCAACUCCACUCCAGCGGAUGGCCCAAGCAACAGAAGGCUGUCAUUAAAACGGUUUUGAUUUGUAGCGUAACUACAAUAAGCAGUGUGGCCUUGUCCCUCCUUCUCCCUCAUCCCACCCGGGCUACCUUAUCAGUUAUCUCCCUUUUUUUUUUUU